AUUUUAGGAGUGUAAUAGUGGUAACCCAUUGCAGUGUUUAUAAAAUCACAUUUGCUUUGUUAUCACAGCGGCGUUGUUAUAUUAUCUAAUAUUAAAAAAAACUAAGUUUUUAGACAAGAUAGCAGGAGAGACUGAUGACUUGCUGAAAACAUUUAUUUACGUAUAUUGUUAAUUAGAUUAGAAGACUUGACAAUUACGAAAGAAAAACGGAAUUUCCUUCCUAAAUUAAAAUCUAUCUGGCUCCCACGACUGCUGUUAGAAUCGAUAGAAAUUGGUUAAGAAAAUCGAUUUAGCAACAUCAACCGUAAAUUCUUCAAGAUUAUUGCUGAAGACGUAGUCGUUACAGUAACGUAACUAAAAAAAAGAUAAAAAAUAAAAAGCUCAAACAAUGUAGAGCAGAGAAAGACAAAAAUAUAAAAUCCGGCCCUUAUGUUUUUUGUGAAAAUGACAGAAUUAAAAUAAAAAAAAAACAAGCGAUCAGUUUGUAUGACAGCUAUAUGCUCCAUUAUCGGCAAAUGAGCAGCUUCAAAAAUUCACAUCGCGUGCAAAAUUACAGAUCGAUAUCUCAAAAACUGGGGCACUAGUUCGUGUAUAUAUGGAAACAGACGAACAUGGCUAAAUUGGCUCAGCUUAUCCUACCGUUCAUUUAUGCAUUUAUAUAUUUUAUAGGAUUUCCUAUGUUUUGUUAUGGAUGUCACAAAUUUUAUAUACCCUGGGUAUAUCAGGGUAUAAUUAUUGGAAUGUUUGAAAACGUUUUACCUAUUCACGAAUAACAUGAAUUCUAAAAUGCACAAGCUUUUUC